rnacentral:tRNA from 1 species
AUUGAUUUGGCAGAAUUUAAGUGCUAUAAAUUUAGAAUUUAUAUAUGUUAUUUAUUUAACAGUUAAUA